GGAUAGCUGGAGCCCAUUACGAGUUCUAUCAGGUAAAGCCAAUGAUUAGAGGCAUUGGGGACGCAACGUCCUCGACCUAUUCUCAAACUUUAAAUAGGUAGGAUGGCUCGGCUGCGGCGGUGAGCCGUGCCACGGAAUCGGGUGCUCCAAGUGGGCCAUUUUUGGUAAGCAGAACUGGCGAUGCGGGAUGAACCGGAAGCCGGG
rnacentral:ncRNA from 1 species